rfam:Papio anubis isolate 1X1155 chromosome 5, whole genome shotgun sequence.
GAAUAGGCUUCUUUGGGAUACAAUAAGAUGAAGCCAUUAAUAUUUAAUUGAAAAUAUAAU